rnacentral:rRNA from 1 species
CCCUUAGAUGUUCUGGGCCGCACGCGCGCUACACUGUUCGACGCAACGAGUCUUAACCUUGACCGAAAGGUUUGGGUAAUCUUCAGCAAAGUCGAACGUGAUGGGGAUCGAUCAUUGCAAUUAUUGAUCGUGAACGAGGAAUUCCUAGUAAGUGCAAGUCAUCAGCUUGCGCUGAUUACGUCCCUGCCCUUUGUACACACCGCCCGUCGCUACUACCGAUUGAAUGGUUUAGUGAGAUCUCUGGAUUGACGCUGGCUAGGGGGCGACCCUUGGCCAGACUGUUGAGAAACUGCUCAAACUUGAUCAUUUAGAGGAAGUAAAAGUCGUAACA